rnacentral:tRNA from 1 species
AGGCGGUCUUGAAGAGGGCCUCGACCUGCUCGGGGUCGGUCACGUCAACCUUCACGAAGGUGCCGCCGACCUCCUCGGCGGCGGCCUU